UUCGGUUGUUUGCUUGGCUCUUUAGCCUUGCGGGUGGCCGUUUCCCARGGCAGCUUCGGGGAUGUCUAUCGUAAAGGUGCAUGAGUGGUGUUUGGUUUGAUACGGGUGGUCGGCUCCCUGCUUGAGCAGGCACGACCAUGCGUGCAUUCCUUUUCAGUUUUGCGGCAAGGCUUGUAUCGUCUUGAUCGUAUAUGUGAGUUUCUUGUGUUGCAUACCUGAUCAACGGCAUCGUAUUGAUCAAAAAAGUUCCUUUUUCRUCGGGCGUUGCAYUCGUGACGUCGGAUGAACCGUGCAGCAUCYUCUUUGAUCCAUACAGUCGACGAGCAUUUGUUGAUUGUUUGGCCUAUUGAGGGUGGCUUGGUCUCUCGGAUAUGGAAUCCAAAGUGGGCAUGGGUUCGUAUGAUCCUUUUGUUGCCCUCAUUGAGCGUUCUCGCUUCUCAUAAACGACCGCCUUUCACGUAUGGCACGUCCCAGCGUUUUUGGCUAYGUCGAAGAGGAA
rnacentral:misc_RNA from 1 species